ensembl:lncRNA uncharacterized LOC114791210
CUCGGCAGUAAUCUCUCGUCAUCUCGGCUUCUUCUCGCGAUACUUCGAAGAUCCGGGGGGCGGGGCCGGCCCGCGCGCUGCUUCUGAGUCUGACGUCUUCGUUCGGGCUUUUUCGCGGGAUAUUUGGAUUUCAGGUGUCGGUUCACAUGCGGCCAAAAGUGCUUUAGAAACUUCGGCACGCCCCUCAUCCCCCUCGCCGGAGCAGGGAAAGCGUUAAGUGAGAAGACAGCCGCGUUUUCCUCUCGGCGCGAAUCCGGAUUUGUGGUGACCCUCUGACAUGCCACCAGUUUUACGAGCGGAACAGUGGCCAGGGAGGACCAGCCCGACCGAGCCUUGAGAGCCACACUGGGCGCGUCCACUAUGAGACGACCAAAAGCGUCCUCUGAGGCUAAGAAAGAGACCGCGCCGCGACGCAGAACUUCCACGAGGACUUGCAGGCACUUUGCAAGCGCCUUCUGUCCGUCCCCGCCGCUGGUCAACCAGGUCGUGAUUGUUGACGAGUUGGACAACGAGAGCGUCGGUUUCAGCGAAGACGACGAUCCUGCCUACAGCCAUGGCCACAAGAGCGGUCUGCCUACGAAGAGGCAGGCCAUUGUCUUCCCUUAUAAAGGUGAUGACGACGAAGAUGACGCUCGCACGUUGUCGCAAGGCGAGAGAGGUUCUCCUGCGGCGCACCACAUUUCCUUGCACGGAGGAUUUGGAGCUGCGGUCCCAGAGAGCCGGAGUCCGGACUCUCUCCUGGCCUGCACUUCAGGCAUGGGCGGGGUGUGGGGCGCCACCAGGCUGGAUGGGAACGACUCCGACACGUCCUGCUCUUCGGCGAAGUCCAUGGUGUCUGGUCCCAGCACACCAGCAGGAAUUUGCCCCAGCUGUGAGAAGCUCUUUGAUAAAAUGAGGCGUCAGAACCAGGGGAAACACAACGGCAAGACAAAAGAUCCGGCUUCUUUGGCUUAUGACCAGUGGGUUCUCUUGAAAACGUGGAGACCAAGCAGGGUACGUCACAUAAAGGGGACUUUACAGCAAUGCAAGAAAUAUACAGGCAACCUCAGUAUCACAGCACAGGCCAAACAGAAGCAUCCUCCGAGACAUCAGAGGCCCUUGCGCAGUUGGCCAUUGAUUGGUGGGGGAAAGGGCCAGAAGAAGAGGAAGUGGCAGCAUCUAGGGCUGGAUGGAGAGAGGCGACAUACAGCACAAGGCUGUUUAGUUCUGGCCGAGUCUCCCAGUGAAAGUGUGGGAUCUUGGGGUGAAAUGAUAAGCAACACUGGGUCACGGGGACAUGUUAGAAGGAUCCCAGACCCUCAGGGCAGUACUAGCUCCUGCCCGGAGAGUCGCUGGCAAGUAAGCGAGAACGGGGUGGCAGCACAUAGGAUGAAACCAGUUCGCAGAAAAAGCAGGCACAAGAGCGGUGUUGUGGAAAUAGAAAGUGCCCCGGCAAACCAAUCGGAUUGGUUCGACUUUCCCAGCAGGCCUUGGGGGGGGUCUGUUCUGUUCUCCAGUCUAACGCCUGACGAGGAGCCCAGAUUGGCGAGGAAGUGUCGCCCGUCUCUCCGCACUUACGAGUCCUGCAAGCCCAGAAAUGGAGACUUCAGGUCUAUGCUGGCCUCCCUGGAAAAGAACAAGAGUAUUUUGUUUAAAGAAGAUGAGCAACCCUAG